AUUAUUUUGGCAGAUGUGAUGCAAUAGGUUUAGGACCUAACUAUAUAGAUUUAUUUCUAUAAAUAAUA
rnacentral:tRNA from 1 species